GCCUACGGGAGGCAGCAGUGAGGAAUAUUGGUCAAUGGCCGAGAGGCUGAACCAGCCAAGUCGCGUGAGGGAUGACGGCCCUACGGGUUGUAAACUUCUUUUACCAGGGACGAAGAAAGUGACGGUACCUGGAGAAUAAGCCACGGCUAACUACGUGCCAGCAGCCGCGGUAAUACGUAGGUGGCGAGCGUUGUCCGGAUUUACUGGGUGUAAAGGGUGCGCAGGCGGCGAGUUAAGUCAGCGGUAAAAUUUCGGGGCUCAACCCCGACGAGCCGUUGAAACUGGCUGGCUAGAGUGGGCGAGAA
rnacentral:rRNA from 1 species